rnacentral:rRNA from 1 species
UACGUAGGGGGCAAGCGUUGUCCGGAUUUAUUGGGCGUAAAGAGCGUGUAGGCGGCCAAGCAGGUCCGCUGUGAAAACUCGAGGCUCAACCUCGAGAGGUCGGUGGAAACCGUUUGGCUAGAGUCCGGAAGAGGAGAGUGGAAUUCCCGGUGUAGCGGUGAAAUGCGCAGAUAUCAGGAGGAACACCAAUGGCGAAGGCAGCUCGCUGGGACGUGACUGACGCUGAGACGCGAAAGCGUGGGGAGCAAACAGG